AUGAGUUUGAGAACAGUGACUUGGCCGGUACGUAACCGUCUGAGUGACGCGGGGAGGAACGGAUCCGUUGCCAGCGUACAGCCCCCCGUCGUCUUCACGCAAGGCGAACGCUCUUGCCCUCUCGUUCUAACCGCCGCACCUCUCCUUCCUCAUCCUCGCGCCCAUCAGCUGCUCGCUCGCGUGCUCCUGAGAGCGACGAUGACCGAUGUCCCUCGGCGUCCUCCCUCCUCCUCCUCCUCCUCCAACGCCAAUUACUCCGCCGCCGCAAGAGCCCUUUACGACGAGGGAGACGAUGCCGCGAGCAACGAUGACGGUAGAGAUGAUCGCGAAGGUCGUGGAAAGACGGGGGGUGGAGUGUCAUUCGAUCUUCGUGUCCGUGUGCCCCGCCAUGCGUGUAGGCUUUAUCGAAAUGAUUCCUCUUUUCUUUAACGAUCCAGUUUCCUCCCGAUGUUAACCGAGCAUCUUGAUUUGGCCGCCGCGUGACUGUCAGCAACUGGAGAACAAAGGCACCCAAGUGCUAGUUCUUAAGCAAUAUUCUUCAAGAGAAUGUUCUGUGGGAAAACUGCAUCUCAAAUCUCAAUGUUGCUGAACAAUGUAGAUAUGACACAGCUCUGCAACAACAGCAACAACAAACAGGCAGCUUCCUCUCACACCACGUCCUUCACAAAUCCACCGUCCCCUCAGAACCAUUCCAUCGAACAUGUGGCCUGCAACAGAGUAUGACGCGACGCGGCCUCCUCGCAUCCUCCACUGUAUUCCCGUGCCGCCCUUCCAUUGGUUGUCAGCCAUGGGCCCGCUAUGGUUUAACUCCGUGGGGCCUGCGAAAUUGUUUAGCCGCUGGGUCGAGGCAUGGCCGCAUGGAAGCCUCGUCCCUCCGGUUUUAACUGAUCUACCUACUUCUUUAUACUGGUCGGUGCC